rnacentral:rRNA from 1 species
AGCCAUACCACCUGCAGUUCAGACCAGGUAAUCCAUCUGGAGCUAAGCAGGUUUGGGCCUGGCCAGUACUUGGAUGGGAGACCAACUAGGAAAACUGGGCUGCU